GACGGACCGAGCGAACGUUGUUCGGAAUCACUGGGUUUAAAGGGUGCGCAGGCGGCGCGUUAAGUCAGUGGUGAAAUCCCGCAGCUCAACUGUGGAACUGCCAUUGAUACUGGCGUGCUUGAGUACGGACGAGGUAGGCGGAAUUUAUGGUGUAGCGGUGAAAUGCAUAGAUACCAUAAAGAACACCGAUAGCGAAGGCAGCUUACUAGACCGUAACUGACGCUCAUGCACGAAAGCGUGGGGAUCGAACAGG
rnacentral:rRNA from 1 species